UCAGGCCUAACACAUGCAAGUCGAGCGAGAACGGUCCUUCGGGACUCAGUAGAGCGGCGGACGGGUGAGUAACGCGUGGGAAUCUGCCCAGUAGUGGGGGACAACAGUUGGAAACGACUGCUAAUACCGCAUACGCCCUACGGGGGAAAGGAGGGGAUCUUCGGACCUUUCGCUAUUGGAUGAGCCCGCGUCAGAUUAGCUUGUUGGUGGGGUAAUGGCCUACCAAGGCAACGAUCUGUAGCUGGUCUGAGAGGAUGAUCAGUCACACUGGAACUGAGACACGGUCCAGACUCCUACGGGAGGCAGCAGUGGGGAAUAUUGCACAAUGGGGGAAACCCUGAUGCAGCCAUGCCGCGUGUGUGAAGAAGGCUCUAGGGUUGUAAAGCACUUUCAGCAGGGAGGAAAGGGUAGUAGCUAAUAUCUGUUAUCUGUGACGUUACCUGCAGAAGAAGCACCGGCUAACUCCGUGCCAGCAGCCGCGGUAAUACGGAGGGUGCAAGCGUUAAUCGGAAUUACUGGGCGUAAAGCGCGCGUAGGCGGUUACAUAAGUUGGAGGUGAAAUCCCCGGGCUCAACCUGGGAACUGCUUUCAAAACUGUGUGACUUGAGUACAGCAGAGGAUAGUGGAAUUUCUAGUGUAGCGGUGAAAUGCGUAGAUAUUAGAAGGAACACCAGUGGCGAAGGCGACUGUCUGGGCUGAU
rnacentral:rRNA from 1 species